rnacentral:rRNA from 1 species
AGUGAACGCUGGCGGCAGGCCUAACACAUGCAAGUCGAGCGGCAGCGCGGGGGCAACCCUGGCGGCGAGCGGCGGACGGGUGAGGAAUUCGUCGGAAUCUGCCUUUUUGUGGGGGAUAACGUAGGGAAACUUACGCUAAUACCGCAUACGUCCUACGGGAGAAAGUGGGGGACCGCAAGGCCUCACGCAGAAAGAUGAGCCGACGACCGAUUAGCUAGUUGGUGGGGUAAAGGCCCACCAAGGCGACGAUCGGUAGCUGGUCUGAGAGGAUGAUCAGCCACACUGGGACUGAGACGCGGCCCAGACUCCUACGGGAGGCAGCAGUGGGGAAUAUUGGACAAUGGGCGCAAGCCUGAUCCAGCCAUGCCGCGUGUGUGAAGAAGGCCUUCGGGUUGUAAAGCACUUUUGUCCGGAAAGAAAUCCCUGGAGCUAAUACCUUCGGGGGAUGACGGUACCGGAAGAAUAAGCACCGGCUAACUUCGUA